rnacentral:tRNA from 1 species
CGGAAUGUAGCGCAGCCCGGAUAGCGCACUCCCUUGGGGUGGGAGGGGUCGGAGGUUCAAAUCCUCUCAUUCCGA